UUCAUUGUCAUUGUAGAUAUGUCCAACAGGUUCCAAGGUCAAUCCCUCACUUCAUGUGCAAAACAUGUUAAUGGUAAUGUUGCAGAACAAAGUGUGGGUGGAAAUGAAACAGGAAACACACAAGGACCAGUGUUACAUGAAACAAGAGCUAAAACAGCAACACCUCCAGUGAAACCAGCUUCUCCUAAGACUGGUUGAAUUAUUAAUUACU